ACCGCCGGUAGGUGGCGCAUUUUAAUCUCGCUUUUCUUUUGUUUGUUUUCUUAGCAGAACCACUUUUAGGGGUUUUGGUGCGGCCGAUUGUGUUUCUGGCAGAGGCAACUUGUCCCGGUAGAAUAGGCUCAGUAUUAACUGGUCGACCGCUGCUUCAUGAUGGAGCUCUGAUCGUCACUUCCCGGGGGUUGCGGGGUGUUCUCACUAGGCUGCCUACCACCAGUGGCUUUUUUACGCUUUGGAGAAUCAUCCAAUAGCUUGAGGCUAUUAAAUUGUGAAUCCAGCGCUGAGAGUAAACUAUCUCUAGCUACGCCAAAGCUAUUAAUUACACCCUUUAAGCCACCUUUAGUUUAGCGCAUAAAAUAUCUCAUACCGUGCGUAACUUCUAUACAAAGGUCACAGCAAUAUAAUAAGUUAUGACACUUAGCAGGUCAUCAAUAGUUCGACCGGUAUACCCGGUUCUGAUUUUUACAAUAUCGGCUUGCAUGUUUACAGUAUUCGUUUGGUGUGGAGUGUGUGAAGCUGGGUAACACCCUAGAUUAGGGGACUCACCCGCGAAAUUCGCGAAAAAAUGGUCCUCUAAGGACCGCGAUUUCUUAAGAAUUUACGUGGAAAAGGAACUUGGCGGUCGGCCAUGUUUCUCUUGUAAUUGAAUUUUAAAGUUCCCGGAUUUGUUACCUCAGAGUUACUUGGAAGUUAGUUCUUGGCUCAAAUUUGUUUAUAAAUUGGGUGAACUAAAGUCAGAACUAGACACAACGGACUUUCCAUCCAAGUCAGGGCCACCUUUAUGAAAAUAAUAUAUUUGAUCAACCUCAACCAGUGUGUAUAGUUAUAAACUUUGAAACUAAUUCGCAGACCCUAUAAGGCGUUAUUUUCAAAAAAUUUCGUUUGGUAUACCCUAAAUUCCUCAAUGCGCACCCUAUAGGCAGACGAGAGUAGCACCUAAAAAAUUUCCAUACAAAUAUGGACCGCCCUAGUGUAUAUACGCUGGUUUUGACAAAACAAAAGUUAAAUAUACUCAUAAUUUGAACUUACUUCUUGUACACUUUGACAUCAAUGGAAAGAGAGCUUGGAUUUCUGAAAAACUGCAAAACACUGUGGCAGUUUCAGUGCUAGUUACAUUUUUUCGUCAAUGCCUAUAGAUAGACCUAAACAUAAUAUAUAUACUUUUGUAUACUACGCCCACCGCCCAAAAUUGUGAUGCCCACAGUUUAGAUGCUAGUAUAAAAACCUUAACUGAAAUGUAUUGCUCUCAUCAAUACCUAUCGAUAGACCCAAAAGCUUGACACGCCCACUUUAACGCCCACAAGCCGCCCACAAACAUCAAAAAUCCUGUACGAUACACCGACAUCAGCUUUAAGCAGUCGGGAUUUUUAGGGUUUCCAUGAGCCUCCCAGUUUGGAUACGGUCUUAUUGCUGGACUUGACUCUGUAGGAGGGAAUGGAAUGGUACCCAAACUAGCAGGCACACCAUCUUUCCAACGGGGUGUUGUCACAAACAGGCGACUUUGAUGGACAUCAAUUCCCAAAGGAGAUAGGAGUCCAUGCCUCUGUGAAAUCAACAAAGGAGAACGCUUAGUGCAGUGCCUCGACUAUCAGAAACCCGUUACUCAACUAAAGGAAGCGCAAGGGAGAUGAAGAAAUGCAUUAUGAGAUUGCGGAGUUUCACCUAGUGGCCAAUACACAGAAAAAAAUCCGAA